UUACUAAUAUGCAUCUUUCUUCUGUUUGGAAUGUGUUCCCUUUUGUUGUUUGUGCAGAGAAUUGAUCCGCCCACUAGGAAACCAAAAUGUUUUAGUGCUUAAUAUUGUCAAUGAUGUGACUUUCUGACUAUUGAAUGUGACUUUCUGACCAUUGAUUGUUUACAUACCAGCUGACGGCCAACGUCCAAUCAACAUAUGCUGCUACAAAUGUGUGCUCCAGAUGGGGUACUUUUGCAAGACCUCUCAGUGCAAAGCCAACUGGAAAUGAGGUUAUUGGAAUUCUGAGUGGGUGUUGUGGUAGGUACUGGUGCAGGCCGGGAGCGCCAAGGCGAUGGCAUUUGAUGAGACCAACCUUGGUGCUUGCUGCUGACAUGUGGAGGAGAAAGCCACAGGAAUCACCAUCUCAAUGGUCCGGCCUUAGUGCUUGCUGCUGACAUUUUGCUGCUAUUGUUCUGCUAGACAUGUUGCACUACCUGAGCUUGUGUACUAGAAGAAAGCACCCAAGUUUUCUGUCUGAUUGAGUGCUUAGCGCGUGGAUUUGCUUAUGACAACCAACUGGAUUUGUUAGAUAUAUCCAAGUGAGAUGUACUGCUACUAUGGGAGUGAAUUUUAUCUAUGUGAGAUUAGAAAUUGUGUGCCA